rnacentral:tRNA from 7 species
GAGAAAGUCAUAGAGGUUAUGUGGUUGGCUUGAAACCAAUUAAUGGGGGUUCGAUUCCUUCCUUUCUUG